rnacentral:lncRNA from 1 species
UGUCUAUGACAGCCCUGGAGACAGAGUUGCUGACCAGAAUCGGAAAGGAGGGUGCAGGCGGUGAACAUGCAGAGCCCCGUUCCUCGGUUUUUCCGUAGACACUGAGCACUCUGGGGGCUCUUGGCCCCCCAGCCCUCACUCCGGCCAAGGCGGUCUCUGGAGGCAGCCCUGAUGGGACCAGCGCAUCUCAUCAACCCAGAAUUCAGAACCCUGAACUUCACUUCACUUGCCUGUGUCUGUAAUCCCUACAGACACCUCCGGGGAAGAAGAACUUCCCUCGACCGCGGGGACUCGCCCAACCUGGGAACCUCUGGGGCCCGAGAGCCAAGAAAGACCCCCUUCCUUGCUCUUUUCCCGGGGAUGCAGAAGUCAGCUAGGGCCCAGGGCUGGUUCGCGCGCUCCCCCUGCUGGAAACCGCCUGUCGGGCUCAGAGGCGCAGGGCAGCGGCUGGGGUACCUUGGGCCGGGAGGUUCUGAGGCUCGAACCGGGGCCAGGACCGAAGCCUGCGCGGCUCCCGGUUCUUCAUCCCGCGGUGCGACAUUCCGAAGUGGGACAUGCUAA